GUCAUAGUUCCACUAAUUAGGAGGUCUAGAAGGAGUCAUAGUUCCACUAAUUAGGAGGUCUAGAAGGAGUCAUAGUUCCACUAAUUAGGAGGUCAAGAAGGAGUCACAGUUCCACUAAUCAGGAGGUCUAGAAGGAGUCAUAGUACCACUAAUCAGGAGGUCCAGAAGGAGUCAUAGUUCCACUAAUCAGGAGGUCUAGAAGGAGUCAUAGUACCACUAAUCAGGAGGUCCAGAAGGAGUCAUAGUUCCACUAAUCAGGAGGUCUAGAAGGAGUCACAGUUCCACUAAUCAGGAGGUCUAGAAGGAGUCAUAGUUCCACUAAUCAGGAGGUCUAGAAGGAGUCAUAGUUCCACUAAUCAGAGCUCCUAAAAUGACUCCACACACAGUGAACUACUUUCUCCAUCCAGCUGUAAAAACAGACAUCAGCUGCUUCAGACUUGGUUCAGGGGUUCUCCAUGGAAACCAGAGUUAGUGUGAAGCUCAGACAGUGUGA